ensembl:lncRNA
CGUUAGCGUACAAGUCUCUAUUUAGUUCAUGCUUUCAAUUCUUUUGAGUAUGUACCCAGGAGUGGAAUUUCUGGUUAUAGGGUAAUUUUAUGUUUAGCUUUCUGAGGAACUGUCAAGCUGCUUUCCACAGCAGUUGCACCAAUUUAUGUUCUCCCCAGCUUCCGGACUGCUGCCAUGCUGGGGGAGGGGUUGAGGAAAGGACAGUAUAUUCCAUGAAGAUGGAGAGUACGCCUGCUUUUCUCAAUAUUUAUUAGCAGCAUGUAACACAGAGUGUGGCAUAAUUAAUUGUUGACAAAUUAAUGGAUGAGUAAUUAAUUCUGGCAACGGAUUACUCUUCAGUGAUGGCUUUUCAAGAGAAAUGUCUCCCAGGGGGCAACUAGAUUAAUGGUGUUGACUUGGAUUGUUGAUGAAAUUCCUUGAGAAGAAUUGUUGGUUUGUGUGUGAACAGAAGUUUUCAUUUCACUUGAGUGAAUAUCCAGGAUUGAGACUGUUGAGUCACUGGAGCUCUCUGGAAGACCUCACACUGCUGUCCCGGACUCCAAGUGCCCCCGAGCCUCACGACUCUAUGCUUAGGGGGCUACCUCUUCGUUGCUGUGACUCGGUGGAAGUUGGGAGCAGUUUGUCUGCUCCUUGCAUCUCUUCAGGUGGCCAAGAGGAGAACUCCUACCCCAUCAGGACUGCUCCAGGUCUCUACCUGUCUCAGAGAUCACUCCGAAGCCUGCGGAGGGCAUAAACCCUUCCCAGGAACAUUAGGAACUAAGAAAAGGCCAUGUGAACACACAGCAAAAUGGGGGCCAUCUGCAAGACAGAAAGAGAGUUCUCACCAGAAACUAAACUCUACCAGACCUUGAUCUUGGACUUUCCAGCCUCCAGAACUGUGAUAAAAUCAAUUUCUUUUGUUUAAGACACCCUGUCUAUGGUAUUUUGUUAUGGCAGCUUGAGCUGACUAAUACAACCCCCAUCAAACAUCAACACUUUCAAAGGCAAAACAUCAUUUAUUCAAAGAAGAUGUUAUUUGACAAAAUUUUAAAAGAACACACAACAAACAGCAUAAAUUGACGUAGUGUGGAUAAACAUCAUUUGGCGUCCCUUGGCUUCUGAAAUCUAGAUACAAUUGUCUUCAAACCCUUCUUCCCGCCUUUUUGCCACGGGAAGACCACAGUCCACACGGAUGUCUGCACAUCCCUUGAAGGAGGAGGAAGACAUUUCCUCUAACCACUCUGGAUCCUUCUGGCCAGAAAACGAAUAAAAUUCACAUGAGACAGAAUAACAGAAGAAAAUUAAACAAAGCUUUAUAACAUGUAUACAUGGGAGAGACUCAGGCAAACUCAGCUACUUGCCAAAAUGGUAGAAGCUCUCACCUUGAACACCACCCUCAGGAAUAUGAAACUGGGGCUCAGAAAAUAGAGAAUACUGUCAGACACCUCAAACGAGAAUGAAGAGUUGCAAUUGCAGGAAGAAAUAUGACUGGUCCUUAUUUGAACUCUGGUCCAUUUCCUACCCAGAAGGAAUUAAGACUCUGCCCUGGUUUCUAUGUCAUCCUCCACCAUGAGAUGAAAAAUGAGAGCCCAUAAGGAGUCAGAAAACAAAGGUAAAAACUCUGUAGAAAACAAAACAAAAAACAGCAACCACCUGAAAACUCUGGAAAUAAACAAAAGAAGGCAGAACUGGAAAGGCGUCAAAACUUGGAGAAGUGACCUGCACAAAGGUGAGUGUUUCUGGUUUUGUUUGUAUGUUUUGUCUUGUUUCCUCUUAUUCUGCAGUUUUGUUCUAAGCACCAGCUUCAUGCAAGGGCUGAUGCAAUGGCACAAGUGGCUAAAAUCCAAGAAAG